GACACUCUGGAAAGUCGAGGGCACCAAAACCCUCGCGCCGAAGGUGUAAGCGCUUCCGACAGGGUUCCGGGGCGCGAGUCUCUCAGGCUUCAGACAGAGGGGC
rnacentral:ncRNA from 1 species